rnacentral:rRNA from 1 species
UACGUAGGGUGCGAGCGUUGUCCGGAAUUACUGGGCGUAAAGGGCGCGUAGGCGGUCAGAUAAGUCAGCUGUGAAAACCUCGGGCUUAACCCGAGGCCUGCAGUUGAAACUGUUUGGCUGGAGUGUGGGAGAGGAGAGUGGAAUUCCCGGUGUAGCGGUGAAAUGCGCAGAGAUCGGGAGGAACACCCGUAGCGAAGGCGGCACUCUGGGCCGUGACUGACGCUGAGGAGCGAAAGCGUGGGGAGCAAACAGG